rnacentral:tRNA from 1 species
GAGAGAGGCGUGCUGCAACAAAGACUGCUAAUCAUUGUCCCCUCGGUUAAACCCCGGGGCUCACUCA